CUACGGGUCGCUCCAGUGAGGAAUUUUGCGCAAUGGGGGGAACCCUGACGCAGCAACGCCGCGUGAGUGAAGAAGGCCUUUGGGUCGUAAAGCUCUGUCAACAGGGAAGAAGUUACUUCAUAUUAAUAGUGUGUAGUAUUGACGGUACCUGUGGAGGAAGCAUCGGCUAACUCCGUGCCAGCAGCCGCGGUAAUACGGGGGAUGCAAGCGUUAUUCGGAAUCAUUGGGCGUAAAGGGCACGCAGGCGGCUCUGUCAGUCAGAUGUGAAAGCCCGGGGCUCAACCCCGGACGUGCAUUUGAAACAGCAGAGCUUGAGUACGGUAGAGGAAAGCGGAAUUCCUGGUGUAGAGGUGAAAUUCGUAGAUAUCAGGAGGAACACCGGUGGCGAAGGCGGCUUUCUGGACCGAAACUGACGCUGAGGUGCGAAGGCGUGGGUAGCGAACAGGAUUAGAUACCCUUGUAGUC
rnacentral:rRNA from 1 species